UACGGAGGAUGCGAGCGUUAUCCGGAUUUAUUGGGUUUAAAGGGUGCGCAGGCGGCACCGCAAGCCGGCGGUCAAAUCGCGGGGCUCAACCCCGCCCAGCCGUCGGAACUGCCGGGCUAGAGUGGGCGAGAAGUGCGCGGAAUGCGUGGUGUAGCGGUGAAAUGCAUAGAUAUCACGCAGAACUCCGAUUGCGAAGGCAGCGCACCGGCGCCCUACUGACGCUCAGGCACGAAAGCGUGGGUAUCGAACAGG
rnacentral:rRNA from 1 species